ACGGGAGGCAGCAGUGAGGAAUAUUGGUCAAUGGGCGAGAGCCUGAACCAGCCAAGUAGCGUGAAGGAUGACCGCCCUAUGGGUUGUAAACUUCUUUUGCUCGAGGGUAAAGUGAGUCACGUGUGACUUAUUGCAAGUAUCGAGUGAAUAAGCAUCGGCUAACUCCGUGCCAGCAGCCGCGGUAAUACGGAGGAUGCGAGCGUUAUCCGGAUUUAUUGGGUUUAAAGGGUGCGUAGGCGGUUUGUUAAGUCAGCGGUGAAAGUUUGUGGCUCAACCAUAAAAUUGCCGUUGAAACUGGCGAACUUGAGUGUAAACGAGGUAGGCGGAAUGUGACGUGUAGCGGUGAAAUGCUUAGAUAUGUUACAGAACCCCGAUUGCGAAGGCAGCUUACCAGCAUACAACUGACGCUGAGGCACGAAAGCGUGGGUAUCAAACAGGAUUAGAUACCCUGGUA
rnacentral:rRNA from 1 species